rnacentral:rRNA from 1 species
ACGGAAGGCAGCAGUGGGGAAUAUUGGGCAAUGGGCGAAAGCCUGACCCAGCAACGCCGCGUGAAGGAAGAAGGUCUUCGGAUUGUAAACUUCUUUUAUGAGGGACGAAGGACGUGACGGUACCUCAUGAAUAAGCCCCGGCUAACUACGUGCCAGCAGCCGCGGCAAUACGUCGGUGGCGAGCGUUAUGCGGAUUUACUGGGUGUAAAGGGCGCGUAGGCGGGGAUGCAAGGCAGAUGUGAAAUCUAUGGGCUUAACCCAUAAACUGCAGUUGAAACUGUAUCUCUUGAGUGCUGGAGAGGUAGACGGAAUUCCUGGUGUAGCGGUGAAAUGCGUAGAUAUAAGGAAGAACACCAGUGGCGAAGGCAGUCUACUGGAGAGUAACUGACGCUGAGGCGCGAAAGCGUGGGGAGCAAACAGGAUUAGAUACCCUGGUA